UUUCUGUAGGUGAACCUGCGGAGGGAUCAUUACAGAGUUCAUGCCCUACCGGGUAGAUCUCCCACCCUAUGUUAUUAUUACUUUGUUGCUUUGGCGGGCCGUUAGGCUCCGGCCCGACUACCGGCCCCGGCUGGUAAGCGCCCGCCAGAGGACCCAAAACCCUGAAUAUUAGUGUCGUCUGAGUACUAUAUAAUAGUUAAAACUUUCAACAACGGAUCUCUUGGUUCUG
rnacentral:misc_RNA from 1 species